rnacentral:rRNA from 1 species
GACGAACGCUGGCGGCGCGCCUAACACAUGCAAGUCGAACGGAGCUGCGAGAAGCUUGCUUUUCUUAGCUUAGUGGCGAACGGGUGAGUAACGCGUGAGUAACCUGCCCUGGAGUGGGGGACAACAGUUGGAAACGACUGCUAAUACCGCAUAAGCCCACGAUCCGGCAUCGGAUUGAGGGAAAAGGAUUUAUUCGCUUCAGGAUGGACUCGCGUCCAAUUAGCUAGUUGGUGAGGUAACGGCCCACCAAGGCGACGAUUGGUAGCCGGACUGAGAGGUUGAACGGCCACAUUGGGACUGAGACACGGCCCAGACUCCUACGGGAGGCAGCAGUGGGGGAUAUUGCACAAUGGGGGAAACCCUGAUGCAGCGACGCCGCGUGGAGGAAGAAGGUUUUCGGAUUGUAAACUCCUGUCGUUAGGGACGAUAAUGACGGUACCUAACAAGAGAGCGCCGGCUAACUACGUG